GACGAACGCUGGCGGCGUGCUUAACACAUGCAAGUCGAACGGAAAGGCCCUGCUUUUGUGGGGUGCUCGAGUGGCGAACGGGUGAGUAACACGUGAGUAACCUGCCCUUGACUUUGGGAUAACUUUAGGAAACUGGGGCUAAUACCGGGUAGGAGCUCCUGCUGCAUGGUGGGGGUUGGAAAGUGUCGGCGGUUUGGGAUGGAAUGGCGGCUUAUCCGCUAGUUGGUGGGGUAGUGGCUUACCAAGCCUUUGACGGGUAGCCCACCUGGGCGGGGGACCGGCCACAUUGCGACUGAGAUACGGCCCAGUAUCGUACGGGAGGCAGCAGUGGGGAAUAUUGCACAAUGGGCGGAAGCCAGAUGCAGCAACGCCGCGUGCGGGAUGACGGCCUUCGGGUUGUAAACCGAUUUCGCCUGUGACGAAGCGUGAGUGACGGUAAUGGGUAAAGAAGCACCGGCUAACUACGUG
rnacentral:rRNA from 1 species